rnacentral:rRNA from 1 species
CCUACGGGUCGCUGCAGUGGGGAAUAUUGGACAAUGGGCGAAAGCCUGAUCCAGCCAUGCCGCGUGUGUGAAGAAGGCCUUCGGGUUGUAAAGCACUUUCAGUGGGGAAGAAAGCCUUGGGGCUAAUACCCUCGAGGAAGGACAUCACCCACAGAAGAAGCACCGGCUAACUCCGUGCCAGCAGCCGCGGUAAUGCGGAGGGUGCGAGCGUUAAUCGGAAUUACUGGGCGUAAAGCGCGCGUAGGCGGUCUGAUAAGCCGGUUGUGAAAGCCCCGGGCUCAACCUGGGAACGGCAUCCGGAACUGUCAGGCUAGAGUGCAGGAGAGGAAGGUAGAAUUCCCGGUGUAGCGGUGAAAUGCGUAGAGAUCGGGAGGAAUACCAGUGGCGAAGGCGGCCUUCUGGACUGACACUGACGCUGAGGCGCGAAAGCGUGGGUAGCAAACAGGAUUAGAUACCCCAGUAGUC